UACGGAGGGUGCGAGCGUUAUCCGGAUUUAUUGGGUUUAAAGGGUGCGUAGGCGGACGCUUAAGUCAGCGGUAAAAUUGCGGGGCUCAACCUCGUCGAGCCGUUGAAACUGGGUGCCUUGAGUGGGCGAGAAGUACGCGGAAUGCGUGGUGUAGCGGUGAAAUGCAUAGAUAUCACGCAGAACUCCGAUUGCGAAGGCAGCGUACCGGCGCCCAACUGAUGCUGAAGCACGAAGGCGUGGGUAUCGAACAGG
rnacentral:rRNA from 1 species